rnacentral:rRNA from 1 species
UACGUAGGGUGCGAACGUUAAUCGGAAUCACUGGGCGUAAAGCGCACGUAGGCGGCUCUUUAAGUCAGAGGUGAAAUCCCAAGGCUCAACCUUGGAACUGCCUUUGAUACUGGGGAUCUUGAGUCCGGGAGAGGUGAGUGGAACUGCGAGUGUAGAGGUGAAAUUCGUAGAUAUUCGCAAGAACACCAGUGGCGAAGGCGGCUCACUGGCCCGGUACUGACGCUGAGGUGCGAAAGCGUGGGGAGCAAACAGG